GCUGGGUGUGAUGGCUCUCGCCUGUAAUCCCAGCACUUUGGGAGGCCGAGGUGGGUGGAUCACCUGAGGUCAGGAGUUUGAGACCAGCCUGACCAACAUGGUGAAACCCCAUCUCUA
ensembl:misc_RNA Metazoa_SRP Metazoan signal recognition particle RNA